rnacentral:rRNA from 1 species
GACGAACGCUGGCGGCGUGCUUAACACAUGCAAGUCGAACGGAAAGGCCCAGCUUGCUGGGUACUCGAGUGGCGAACGGGUGAGUAACACGUGGGUGAUCUGCCCUGCACUCUGGGAUAAGCCUGGGAAACUGGGCCUAAUACCGGAUAUGACCAACUGUCGCAUGGUGGUUGGUGGAAAGCUUUUGCGGUGUGGGAUGGGCCCGCGGCCUAUCAGCUUGUUGGUGGGGUAAUGGCCUACCAAGGCGACGACGGGUAGCCGACCUGAGAGGGUGAUCGGCCACACUGGGACUGAGACACGGCCCAGACUCCUACGGGAGGCAGCAGUGGGGAAUAUUGCACAAUGGGCGCAAGCCUGAUGCAGCGACGCCGCGUGAGGGAUGACGGCCUUCGGGUUGUAAACCUCUUUCAGCAGGGACGAAGCGAAAGUGACGGUACCUGCAGAAGAAGGACCGGCCAACUACGUGCCAGCAGCCGCGGUAAUAC